rnacentral:rRNA from 1 species
CCUACGGGUGGCAGCAGUGGGGGAUAUUGGACAAUGGGGGGAACCCUGAUCCAGCGACGCCGCGUGAGUGAAGAAGUAUUUCGGUAUGUAAAGCUCUGUCAGCAGGGAAGAAAGAAAUGACGGUACCUGACCAAGAAGCCCCGGCUAACUACGUGCCAGCAGCCGAGGUAAUACGUAGGGGGCAAGCGUUAUCCGGAAUUACUGGGUGUAAAGGGAGCGUAGACGGUUAAGUAAGUCUGGAGUGAAGGGCGGGGGCUCAACCCCCGGACUGCUCUGGAAACUGUACGGCUGGAGUGCAGGAGAGGAAAGUGGAAUUCCGAGUGUAGCGGUGAAAUGCGUAGAUAUUAGGAGGAACACCAGUGGCGAAGGCGGCUGACUGGACUGUAACUGACGUUGAGGCUCGAAAGCGUGGGGAGCAAACAGGAUUAGAUACCCGAGUAGUC